UUCAAAUUCUGGUGUGGAUAUAGAAUUGUCCUACAGCGCUUUGUCCUCCCUUAAGGAUGUUAUAGCCAUCUUGAGAAGUGAUGCUUCUAUUGAUCCAUCAGAGGUUUUCAACAGAAUUGUUUCCUCUGCCUGUACUCUAUUGACAAAGGACGAGCUUGUAGGCACCUUGC